AUAAAAACUUUAAGUCUUCAAUUUAAUGAUAGUAAAGACACGACACCACACGACCUGCUAAGUAAGAUAUGUGAAGUAUAGGAGACUGUAAGAGAUGUGAAGUAUAAAACACAGUAGUUGAUGUGAAUUAUAGAAGAUAGUAAGAGAUGUGAAGUAUAGGAAACAGUCAGAGAUGUGAAGUAUAGGAAACAGUCAGAGAUGUGAAGUAUAGGAAACAGUCAAGCUGUGAAGUAUAGGAGCCAGUCAGAGAUGUGACAUAAAGGAGACAGUCAGAGAUGUGAAGUACAGGAGCCAGUCAGAGAUGUGAAGUACAGGAGCCAGUCAGAGAUGUGACAUAAAGGAGACAGUCAGAGAUGUGAAGUACAGGAGCAAGUCAGGGAUGUGAAAUAAAGGAGACAGUCAGAGAUGUGAAGUACGGGAGCCAGUCAGAGAUUUGACGUAAAGGAGGCAGUAAGAGAUGUGAAGUACAGGAGCAAGUCAGGGAUGUGACGUAAAGGAGGCAGUAAGAGAUGUGAAGUAUAGGAGACAGUAAGAUAUUUGAAGUAUAAAAGACAGUACAAUAUGUGAAGUAUAGGAGAGAGCUGGUGAUGUGAAUUAUAGGUGACAGUAAGAUAUGUGAAGAAAGGAGACAGUAGGUGAUAUGAAUUACAGGAGACAGUAAGAGAUGUGAAGUAUAGAAGACAGUAAGAGAUGUGAAGUAUAGGAGACAGUACAAUAUGUGAAGUAUAGGAGAGAGCUGGUGAUGUGAAGUAUAGGAGACAGUAAGAGAUGUGAAGUAUAGGAGACAGUAAGAGAUGUGAAGUAUAGGAGACAGUAAGAGAUGUGAAGUACAGGAACCAGUAGGUUAUGUGAACUAUAGGAGACAGUAAGCGAUGUGAACUAUAGAAGACAUAUUGUCAGCCAAUUGUGUCAACAGUUCGGUCUGUAUUUUAUUGAAUAAUUUGCACAUGAAAAAGACAAUACAAUAUGAAGAUGAGAAUUAAAGGACAAAAGAAAUGUACAAGUGCAGGAGAGGUAGAAAACUAAAACAGUAAUAUUUCCCAAUGCUUCAACCCAAUGACAUCUACCUAGGUGGUUUGUGUGUGUUAGUGAGAGGUUGCCUGGGUAGCUGUGUUUUGCACUGGGUGAAAGUUGAUUGCAUUUGUUUUGGAACUGGGCUGCCUCCCGGGAGUGAGUCAGGUUCACAGUUCAAAGCCCAUGGUGAAGUCGGCUCAAAACAAAAGUGACGUAAUUAAGCAUGUGGAGUGACGCGUAUGAUUCUGUGUAUUCACAUGCAAAGGAAAUUGCUUUUGAUUAAAAAAAUGCUUUAUCUGCAUUCCCAAUGAAAACUAGUUUAAAAUGUAAACAUAUGUUAUGGAAGAGAUGUAUAUUUCUGUACAAUGCACAAUGCUGCCUUGUUGACGACAUGAACGAGCGGCACAGAUUACUGUUCGAUUUGAGGAGGCUUUUGUCCAGUCACGUGCCCCACGGCUCGCCCAUGAUAAGUGCGAAACUCAGAGGCUAAAUGCUGUGUGUGAUUAUGAUUACGUACAGUCAGAUGCAUAUACCUAGUGAAAGUCUACACACUUUUGAACAGUCUUCACAUUUUGAUGCCUUAAAAUUCAAUCGAAAAUAUCAGAAAAUGUAGAACAUUUCUCAAAUGAAUUACAAAUAAAAAUAUGAAUAUGCAUAAUGUCUUCACACCCCAGAGUAAAUGCUGUGGGAUUAUUUAAAAUAAAAUGGUCAAUUGCCCCCAUUACUAAAUAGCAGAAUAAAAAUACAUUUUCCAGAAUGCAUUAGAUCAAACACUUCUGAAUGACAGAACUUUAAAACCAAAUCCCUCUUUGCAUUGUACAGUCCCUCCAGGAUUCUGCGAUCGCAUAAUUCAAUGCAAAAUCAACCAAUCAGCGCAUAUUAUGCGAGAGAACACAAUUUUUACCAAUCCCAGCACUUUUAGCGCAUAAAAGGGUCCAAUCAAAAGCGGGUUCGUAAUUUUGACCAAUUACUGCACUGUUACCGUGGAAAAAGGCCUAAUCUAACUACACGUUUAAAAAUAUAUAUUUUUAAAAAAUAUAUAUAUAUAUAUUUUAAUCCAACUACACAUCAACAAAGUUUUUUCACCCUGUCCUGUCAGCGUAUUCAGAUGUCAAGAUGAUUGUGCUAGAACACAAUAGAAAGUCGACAAUCAACAGUCACUUCAAAUCAGGAAACCAUAUGAGAAUGUCAGAACAGUUCCCAUAGCAGCGGCAGAUCACCAUGACUGAAGUGGUAGAAGGGAAGACCGUGGGAAGAUUUGUGAAGAUUGGGUACGCACUUGCACAGCAGUCAACAUGCCCUGUUUCAGAAGUGAUCACCCCUCAACGAGGCAGUUUCUGAAGGAGAAAGUCAACAAUGGAAGUGCCAUCCCUGGAUAUCACCAGUUACAGGAAAACUUGGGAGAUAUCUACUUGAAGGUGAAGGAAGAACUCAAGCAACAUCUUGCAGGGAAGCCAGUGACAAUCAUCUUUGAUGAAACUCCAGAUGUUGAAGUAAGAUGUCCACUAAACAUCCUUAUCGCACCACUUGAAAAGGAUACCUCUGGGAGAAUUCUUGCCUACCUUGCAGAGACAGUGUUUCUGGAGCAGUGCAACCAUUCAACAGUUUCCAUGGCGGUUUGUCAAGUGUCUACAAGACUACAAUAUCUCCAAUGAUGACGAAUUCAUUGUCUUUGACACAGACAAUGCUGCGUACAUGAAAGCCUACAAAGCUGCACUUCAGUCAUUGUUCCCCAACUCUCUGCACAUGACAUGCAUGGCUCACAUCAUGAAUCUGAUAGGGAGUGCUUUCCGCUAACCUUUUGAUCAGCUGAACGCAUUCAUGCUAAGUUUUUCGCAGAUGUUUUACUAGGCAGGGGCACGCAAGAUAAGAUACCUUACCUUCCUCACCACCAAACUGGCAGGACGGAAGAGAGCAACUAUGGAUCCCAAUUCAUGUGCAAGAUGCUGGAACUCAUGGUUCUCAGCAGUGCAGUACCACUCGUACACACUUUUUCAGUUCUGCCCCCAAAUUUUCUAUUGGAUUGAGGUCAGGGCUUUGUGAUGGCCACUCCAAUACCUUAACUUUGUUGUCCUUAAGCCAUUUUGCAACAACUUUUGGAAGUAUGCUUGAGGUCACCAUUUUUUUCUGAGGUCUUGGCUGAUUUCUUUUGAUUUUCCCAUAAUGUCAAGCAAAGAGGCACUGAGUUUGAAGGUGUGUGGCCAAAGUGCACCACAGUCUGUAGAGAAUCUCCAUGAGAGUCAAAGAGCAGGUUCUGCCGCUGUAGAUUCAGCUGAACAUCAUGACAGACAAGUGCAAAGUCAUCCUGCAGCUUCUCGACAUCUUCUAGAGCAGACGCCCCGUGACAACAAAGAUCUUUCAGUAUUUAGAGGACUUGCAGAUGAACAUUGCAGCCAACAAAGAACUACAGUAUGAAGCUUGUUCACACUGCUUUGACACAGUUGAUGACUUGCCCUUUGCUGUGAAAACCAAACUCUUGAUUCAUACAGCAAUGCAGAGGAAAAACUUCCAAAGUACAUGUCAGAUGGUCAGCCUGCCAUGGAGUUCCUCCAAGAAGUUAGGGUGUUUGAUCCACGUCACAUUGCGUGUCCAGCUUCACGGCUAUUCCAGGCUUCAGUAAGGUACCGAGAGAUGAACCCGAUGCAUACUUCACCAAUGUAGGACCAGCACCACUGAGAGCCACAGUGAGUGGGGUGGUGGAUUUGGAUAUCUUCUGGGAUGGACUUCAAGAGAGACUUCCUGUGCUGAACAUUCUGACCAAACACUACAAAGAUGCCAUCUCAAACUCUGCUGAUGCUGAGCGAAGCAACAGUAUCUACAAGCUUGUGUUGUCCAGCUGUAGGCGAUAAACCUCUAACAACAACUUACGAGCCUUGGUCUUCAUGUACCACUACCAACGACUCCGCAGUGGAGGAAUUGAUAAGGAGGAGGAUAGGGAGGAUGAAAUGGAUAAUUACAUUGAGAUAUAGGCCUAGAUGAGCUAGGCCCUUGGUCACCCCCCACCUCUUGUUAUGUUCAGAAAAAUAACUGUGCUUGUUCAAAAAAAGAAACAGCACAAAAGAGCACUUUGUCUCUAAUUGUUUUCAUGGAAGAUGAACUAGAGAUAUAAUGUGUCUUAAUUGCAGAUUGGACCCCAGGUGUUUCUUUUGUCCUAGUUUAAUCUUUUUGAAAACGGAGGAAUGCCUGUUGUUGGAACUCUGAGGUAGCUUCCAGACAUUUUUUUUGUUUUGUUCAGGAAAAGAACUGUUUGUUCUGGACAAUUAACAAAAUUGAGCACUUUAAAUGUUAAUUGUUUUUGUAUGAUGUAUUCUGCUUAAAAUAGUCCUAAAACUGAGCACAUAUGAAUUUUUAUUGCUUUAUACGAAAUUAAUGUGAAAGAUAAUUGCAAAAUGUUUAGUAGAAUUUCAGAAAAGCUGCCACAAAAUGAAGCAUUUUUGGCAGAAUAAAUCACUUUUUUUCCCGCUAAAUCCUGGAGGGACUGAUUGUAUAACAAACUGAGAUAGAAUCUGCUUGUUGGCUGCUGAUCAGACUUAAGCAAGCACUUCUGUGCUGUUGAUAUUGAUGUAACUUGUUAUGUAGCUUUGUAAUUGAUCAUACUCUUUUUGUUUUUAAUUGCAUUGAGUAUGAUGGGUCAAUCUUGCCAACUUGCCAUCUCACAGUCUAAGAGGACCACAAUGGAAAGAAGCGUUCAGGGUUUAUUGUGUUUUUAUCCUCGAUAAUGUUUCAUGAAUGUAAUGUUGUCUGGACACCGGUGCCCCCGCACUUUGACACAUUAACUCUGUACCAUUACCCACUGUAUAUAGCCCCACUAUUGUUAUUUACUGCUGCUCUAUAAUGUUAGUGCUUGCAGGAAAAGUUAUUGCAUUAUCCCCCAGCCCUUGUUUCUGGGAAGGAUACAAGUGUAUUCUCCAUAACAAUUGAUCCUACACUUUUGAUUUAGCAGAAUCGAGAGUGAGAGUAAAAGGUGGCCAAAACGUGGUCUGUGUGUGUGAUUGUGUAGGGGAUCAGUGGUAUGUCAGACGACUGGACAGGUUUCUAAUGUUUCAGAGGCUACUGAUGCACAACUAUCAUACUGGCACACAACAAAUACUACUGAGAUACAUCUGGGUCUAAGGAGAUGACCAUGUAGUGUUUGACAUGAUGUAUUAGUUUAUGACCUGUACACGACGCAAUGUAUGUGCUAUACUUUUAGCUGUACUGGUUUCUCUGCUCAGAAUCAGCUCACAAAUGAAGAUUCUCACACUGCUGUACAGUUGGCAAUACUUUACUUACAUGGUUAUACAUCCUUUACAAUGUAUUUUCAUCCAGAAGAACCAAGUAAAUACUACUUAUCAUAGUGUGGAAUUACUGGGUGUACUCCUCAGUUGGUUAACUAGGAGAACAAGCAGAUGGCAGAUCAAGUUGAACCAGACAACAGGGUUUUAUUGCCCUCUUAAUACAGGCUAAAGAAGGUUAGCAGGGCAGAUCAAAACAAUAAACACUAUGGCUCACUAUAGCUAGCUAACUUGGUA